AAACGGGAGAGACCCGAAAGCUCGAAGGGGGAGAUUCAAUCCUGCCCGCGCGUCCGGAGCGCUAUUCUCCUCGGAUGGUCCCGUCCGCCGUCAGUUCCGCAAGGUUCGCGACGGUCCGUUUCGGGUCCACCGGGAUUUUGGUUCCGGCCGCGGCGGGAUGCACUUCUCCCCUUGUAGGACGUCGCGACCCGCUGGGUUUCUAUUUAUUAAGACCGGUCUAAGGCACUCGGGGUGGAGCCCGAGGGAAUCGCCGCGGAAACGCGGGCCAACGGUUCCCCGGACCCUCGGUCGCCCGGCCGGCGCCCGGCGGUAACAAUCUGCGGAGCAGGCCCGCUACUGUGCGUCCGGCCCGAUGUACAAGCUCUAUGGCGGAUCAGCUCGAGGUGCCGUGGCAACAAGCCACGUUCCCCGGCCCCCGUAGGCUGCUGGUUCUCGGAGUCCUCGGACGGUAGCCCGUCUCCCGUCAGCGGCGCUCACGCUUCGGGUGCUCUCCCGAC
rnacentral:rRNA from 1 species